GCAAACAUCAGUCUCUCUCCCUCUCGUGAGUCUCUCUCAUCGCUCUUAAUUUCUACCGACUCUGUCUCUCACUCCAACAACAAUUUUGUGCGGUUUUCCCCGAUGGUCGCCGCCGUAUGGCCGCUGCCGCGUUCAUGUUCCACUUUCCGGCCACUGCCGAAAUAUCGCACAGCCACCACUGUCCACUUUUCCGGCAACCCGAACCAUGCCCAUCGUUGUGUGUCUUAAUCUCAGUGGGUAUGAUUCAAUUCAAAUCCUUACAAAUCGAUUGGCCUAAAUAUUUGUUUUGAUUUUAAUAUGAGAUGCUGUAUACAUGUGUUAUGUAGUUAAGUGGUUAGUUUUGAAACUCAAAAUAUUGUCCGGGUAUUAAAGCUUUUAGUUUGAGAUAUGUGUUCAUGUGUUGGGAGUGGUACUUGAAGAGUUGAGUAGCGGAUUAAAGUUUUAAAUCUAUAUGUAUUCAAGUUAAAUAUCUAGACUACUGCAGGUCUGUUUUUGCAGUACAAUCUUGGGCUCAUAGAGUCGAGUUAUAUGCUUAAUCUUUGUGUGGUUAUGUGCUCCUCGAAGUCUAGUUUCUACUCUCGAAAGAAUUAGAUUAAUUUAAUAAACGAGCUACAAGAUAUGUAUGUUUUAGCACGAGUUGAGCAGAAAAUUCUGGGCAGGUGUGUCUUAUUCUGGGUCCUGCUACCUUUGACUUGGUAUUUAUUCCUGAAAUUUUUAUUGAAGUUUGAUAUUGGGCUCUCGAAUGUGCUGUUAAAGUUUUAUACAAACAGGCCAAUUUUUCAAUUUAUUAAAAAUCUUAGCAUGGGGCUGGUUUCACAGGACAGAUUCAUGUUCCUGACUUGCAGGCUCUGUUUUACUUCAUUAAACAUGGAAUUUGCUUCUGAAAUUUUUAUAGUAGAUUGGAGUAGUGUUUAGGAGUGUCUCCUAAAAAUUUCAUACAAAAACAAUAAAUUUUCAAUUUAUUAAAAAUCAUAAAGUGAGGGAUGUUCAAAUCAUUGGCCUUAGUUUUCUUGCUUUGUUAGUGCAUAGUAUGAGUUUAUAUUUGGUUAAUUGCAUAAAAUUGAUAAAUGGAUUCUUGUGGUGGUGGUAGCUUGUUAUUUGUAUUAGCUUGAUUUCAUGUUUGAAUAUAGAGGGUUUCAUGAGUUUUUACUUGAUACAUGUGGAAAGCCACAUAAAGAUUGAUUCUUCGAAAGAAUUGAGUUAAUUGUUAUAUAUGUGUUAAUAUGAAUUAGAAACUUUAAUUGGAUCCUAUUUUUGAACAUAUAAACGAGUAGUAUGGUCACUUGAGUGUGAUUGCAUUUGAGAUAAAUUGGUAUUAGUUUUUUUGUUGUGGAUUGAUGGUAUUAGUUUAAAACAGGUGGAUUGCUAGAUAAACAGAGGAAGUGCUGUCAAAUUUCUGGCAUGACUAUUAAAUGAUUAUAUGGUAGUUUAUUGAUUUCAGAUUGGAUUGGUUGGUUGUUGGAUCGUAUAGAUAACAGGUGGAUAGCUCGAUAAAUAGAGGAGAUGUUGAAAAUUUGUUAGCAAUUAGGACAUAUUGUCAAUAUGUUAGUGGUUUGUAUAUAAUCAGAUAUGAGAUUAUAUACGAGAUGAAUUCAAUAGUCAUAUAUGUAUAAGUAUCAAUGCAUAUGAUUUAUUUGAUACGUGCUAAUAUGACUACUUGUUUAAUUGUGUGACAAUAUGUGUAUAUAUUAUCAGUAUACAGUGUGUGUAUAUAUCCGAUGGGUAGAAAUAGAGUUCGAUUCUAUGAUUUAGGUGGCGAUUUGGAUUAUUCUUCGACUGAAGUAUUAUUAUACUAUCUUGUAGAACUGAGCUAGACGCGCGUAUCGAGGACGUUAAUAAGUAGUUGAAUUACAAAGCAAGUCAAAUCAGGAAUGAUCUGAUAAGACGAAACUAUGGCAUAGACAAUAUCUUGUCAAAUCUAAGCGAAAGGAAUGACUGUACGGUACAUAGUAAUAUCAGAUGUCCGAGUUUGGAAAUUAAGAUAAGGCAAGUAUUCAUAUCCCUCUUCAAUAUUUAAAGAGCCAGUUUCUUUAUUUCUUGAUCGGUCAGUCUCUUGUUUAGUUCAUUUAAUCCCUUGACAAUUUAAAAAAGUUAUUUAUUCGAUAUUGUUCUUGAAUUGAUUUCACAACAUAAGCCUAAUCUUCUGUCCUUUUGCGUAUAUGACGUUGAAGCAUGAAACUUGAUUACUAAUCAACAUUAUUGAAUUCCCUUUGAACCUUAUUUCAAGGUUUUGCCGUUAUGUUUAAAGUUUUAACAAGCUGGUAUUGAAAUGUUUUAAAUAAUGAAAAGGGUAAGUUUUGAAAAUAGAAAGGAAUGGUGUGAAUUGAGAAGUGGUUUUGGAAAAGAAAUGAAUAUCUUUUGAAAGUAUAAGUUUUGAGUAAUAAUGUUUCUAAAUGUGAUUGGAUGCGUAAGAGGCCGAGUGAUGCCGGUCCAGCGUAAUUAUAAGAUGGCGUAAGAGGCUAGUAUUACUAGUCCAGCGUAAAAGGCCAAAGAGUUGCCUAAUUGGGUUCCCAAUUGAUGUCCAGAGGGACUUUAUGUCCGCUAUGGGGACUUUACGUGGCUGAUCACCCGUAUUGUCCAGAAAUGUCGAGUAAAAUCAAAUCAGAUUAAUAUUUUUAUGAAAAUGGUGUUCUGAUGAAAGAAUGUUUGAAUAUAAUGAAAUGUAUUUGAAAGAUUUUGUAAAUGAUAUUUGGAGUUUUGAAAAGAAUAAUUUCUUAUGUUCAAUUUAAAGUGACCCUUAUUGUUUAAGCAAAUUUUAAUUUAAUUUGAUUGCUCAUUUGCGAUGAUUACUAUUCAUGUUGAGCUGUAUAUUCCAGGAAUCUUGAUAUAUUGUUAUUCCUAAAUUAUUCAAAGAUUGAUUCCAAUGCAAUCACCUGAUUAAUUUCAUUUAUAUAUCCUGUGUUUCUCACAUAUAUACUUGCUGAGCAUUGUUGCUCACUCUUGCUAUUUUCUUCUAACCAUUUCAGCUAGGGCUAAGGAUGGUUCGCAUGUUUAGACUAAGCGUAAGAGUAAGGCUAGGCGAGCAUCGCAAGUGAUUAAGGUCAACUUGAUAAUCAGGAAGAAAAUCCAGGAUGAAGUGUUUGAGACUAGUGGUAAUUGGUGUUGUCUAAAUUUGAUUAAGUUGUAAAAAUAGAUUGUUAAAUUGGUUAUUGGCUAUCCUUUUUAUCGAGGUUUAGCUGAUAAUAUAGUUUAAGUUGUAAUGAGAUUUGAUGGUUUGGGUUCUGAUUUCAAUACUAUAGCCUGUAUGCGAUCCUGUUUUCAGG
rnacentral:lncRNA from 1 species